CCGGGCGGAACUGGAGGGCGGACAGGAAAUCCGGGCGCUCUCAGCGCGCAGGCGCAGUGUGCAGCUAAAGGCGGUGCAGGUCCCCGAUCUUUGCUCCUCUCUACCUCAAUCCCGGCGGGGCUCCUGUGUACACGGUUUUCCAGACAAGUCAGCGAGUUGAUGUUAAUACAUAGCAACUGUCUGCCUAUUCCUCCAACUGAGAAGGGGCCGGUGCAGGAGGAUGGGGCGGCUUCCCUGACCUUGAGGAGGAGGUUGUUGGCAUCCUCUCAGUUCCCUUUGCCCCACCUGGCGCCCUGGGCCUUCAGACUGCUGAACGUACCCUAUUCAUCUACCCUAUUAGACUCCCACUUCCCUAAGUCAUCCCAACUCAGCACUCUCCUCGCUGUUCUCCACCGUUCAGUUCAAACCAGCAUUUAACCCCCAUGGAUUCCAGCGACUGGGUUCAGUGACCUGGUAGCAGCGUGCUUAUUAUUUCCCAGAGAGAGCUAUGUCUCUCCGGUUUGGGAACUAGGACCAGACCGACAUCCUGGUCAAAAGUUUAGGUUGGCAGCUUCCUUCCUUCACCUAAGAUGAGAGUGUAGGCUUAGUGUCUGCUUCAGGGAUCAGAGUGGAUGCUCAUAGGGAAGGGGAAGGCAAAGCUACCAUUAACCCUCCCACGACAGCUUUUGAAGAAAAGGAAGCGAUCUUGGGAGGAGUGAGAAAAAAAGAAAGCACCUACAUGUGUCAUUGGCAUCAACAGGCCUCCACAGCUCCUGCCCCAUUUCCAGCCCCUCUUUAGAGUCAACCCUGUCCAAAGUCCGGUAAACCUGCCACCCCGAUGUUCUCAUUUCCCUCAGCUCAGUCCAUCCUUCUAAAACUGCUGUCACCCAACACCCCACGGAUCUCCAUGUUUCCAAAUCCAGGGGACACCUCUAUUCUCUCCGUAUUUAACGUGAGUGAUUAUAAUAGCAUGCUGAAUUCUAGGAGACCGGCCCAUCCUAACUUGUACAUCUGCACACAGUGUCUCCUUUUACUAACGAAGACACUGAAGCUCUGAGAAGUUGAUGCCUAGGUUUCACACAACUCGACUCACAGAGAAGGAGCCCGAACCCCAGGCAGUCUGACUGCAGCAUCUCCCACUGCAGCUCCGGGCUGUGUGGACUCGCAGUUAACCUCUCUUUCAAGUCCUGUUCUUUCAACCUUGACCAUAGCCCAUGGCUUUCUCUUUCUCAUACACCGACUUCUCUUCCCCCACCCAAACUCUCAAGGUUCAAUCCAAGAUCCUCUUCUCUCUUUCCCCUGUUUCUUCCUAAGCGGUCUCAUUAAUUUUCAUGGACUUACUGC